rnacentral:rRNA from 1 species
GACGAACGCUGGCGGCGUGCUUAACACAUGCAAGUCGAACGGAAAGGCCCUGCUGUUGUGGGGUGCUCGAAUGGCGAACGGGUGAGUAACACGUGAGUAACCUGCCCUUGACUUUGGGAUAACUUCAGGAAACUGGGGCUAAUAACGGAUAGGAGCUGCUGCUGCAUGGUGGGGGUGGGAAAGUUUCGGCGGUUGGGGAUGGGCUCGCGGCUUAUCAGCUUGUUGGUGGGGUAGUGGCUUACCAAGGCUUUGACGGGUAGCCGGCCUGAGAGGGUGACCGGCCACAUUGGGACUGAGAUACGGCCCAGACUCCUACGGGAGGCAGCAGUGGGGAAUAUUGCACAAUGGGCGGAAGCCUGAUGCAGCAACGCCGCGUGCGGGAUGACGGCCUUCGGGUUGUAAACCGCUUUCGCCUGUGACGAAGCGUGAGUGACGGUAAUGGGUAAAGAAGCACCGGCUAACUACGUG